UUACAGCCAUAUCACUUUGAAACACCUGUUCGCGUACUAUCACAAAAGUUAAGAAAUAUCGAGCCUGGACAGUACCUAGAUGGGUCACCGCUUGGGAAUACCAUAUGUUGUAAG